AAUCUUAUCUCUACUUAUAAAAUCGUUCUGAGUUCGGAUUGCAGGCUGCAACUUGCCUCCAC
rnacentral:rRNA from 13 species